rnacentral:rRNA from 1 species
UACAGAGGGUGCAAGCGUUGUUCGGAAUUAUUGGGCGUAAAGCGCGUGUAGGCGGCUUUGCAAGUCGGGUGUGAAAGCCCUCAGCUUAACUGAGGAAGUGCGCCCGAAACUGCUUGGCUUGAGUACCGGAGAGGAUGGUGGAAUUCCCGAAGUAGAGGUGAAAUUCGUAGAUAUCGGGAGGAACACCGGUGGCGAAGACGACCAUCUGGACGGAUACUGACGCUGAGACGCGAAAGCGUGGGUAGCAAACAGG